rnacentral:snRNA from 1 species
GUGCUCACUUCUGCGUCCCAUUUACUAAAAUUGGAACGAUACAGAGAUUAGCAAGUGUGGCCCCUGCACGAGGAUGACACACAUACUCAAAGUGUUCUCUAUCUUU